rnacentral:lncRNA from 1 species
AUAACCUAGACAGCAUAGCAGUGAUGCUGUCAAUCCCAUUAGCCAAGCCAGGCUCCCUCUCCUCAGAGAUACUGGAGCUUCAUCUUUCUACUCAGAUAAGAAUCUCCAGGCACCUUGGGAGGAUGGACAGUCUGGGCUCAUUUGAUGAAGAGUCUGCUGCAAGCUCAUGGGGACUUGACUUCUGAUCCCCAGAAGUCAUGUAAAAGCCAUGCAUGGUGACACGCAUCAGGAGCCUCUGAUCUAGGAAUGCAGAGCUAGGAAACAACAAAAAAACCAACAGCUUGUCCACAGAACAUCACCCUUUUCCAGUAUGAAUGACAUUGGCAUAUAGACAAAGUUCUUUGAGGGGACUAUGGGUAUUCAUAAAC